UACGGGGGGAGCAAGCGUUGUUCGGAUUUACUGGGCGUAAAGGGCGCGUAGGCGGCCAGCGCAAGUCAGUUGUGAAAUCUCCGGGCUUAACUCGGAAAGGUCAACUGAUACUGCGCGGCUAGAGUGCAGAAGGGGCAACUGGAAUUCUCGGUGUAGCGGUGAAAUGCGUAGAUAUCGAGAGGAACACCUGCGGCGAAGGCGGGUCUCUGGGCCGAUACUGACGCUGAGGAGCGAAAGCGUGGGGAGCAAACAGG
rnacentral:rRNA from 1 species